rnacentral:lncRNA from 1 species
CAACUCGUUUAAAAGUAGGUCAAAUGAUCCAUCCCAUUUGGAUUGACAGGUUGAAGCAGGUAUAUAUAUAUAUAUAUAUAAUAUUUUGAAAUUACUAUCGAUUCCAAAUCCAAAUCCAAAUCUCCUUUUUCUCUAAUCUUUUAUUCUCUUUCAUAUUUCAACGAGAAAGAGAGGAAAGAUCGAGAGAAGCCGCUGCUGCUGCC